rnacentral:rRNA from 1 species
AUUGAACGCUAACGGCGUGCUUAACACAUGCAAGUCGAGCGGCAGCAUGACUGUAGCAAUACAGUUGAUGGCGAGCGGCGGACGGGUGAGUAAUGCAUAGGAAUCUGCCUUGUAGUGGGGGAUAACCCGGGGAAACUCGGGCUAAUACCGCAUAAUCUCUACGGAGCAAAGUGGGGGACCUUCGGGCCCUACGCUAAAAGAUGAGCCUAUGUUGGAUUAGCUAGUUGGUAGGGUAAAGACCUACCAAGGCAACGAUCCAUAGCUGGUCUGAGAGGAUGAUCAGCCACACUGGGACUGAGACACGGCCCAGACUCCUACGGGAGGCAGCAGUGGGGAAUAUUGGACAAUGGGCGAAAGCCUGAUCCAGCAACGCCGUGUGUGUGAAGAAGGCCUUCGGGUUGUAAAGCACUUUUAGUGGGGAAGAAAAGUUCAUGGCUAAUAUCCAUGAAUGCUGACGUUACCCACAGAAAAAGCACUGGCUAACUCUGUGCCAGCAGCCGCAGUAA